rnacentral:rRNA from 1 species
GAUGAACGCUGGCGGCGUGCCUAACACAUGCAAGUCGAGCGUGAACCCUGCGAAUGAAACUUCGGUCGAUUUUGCAGGGGGAAAGCGGCGGACGGGUGAGUAACGCGUAGGUAACCUGCCCCAUACUGAGGGAUAGCCUCGGGAAACCGGGAUUAAUACCUCAUAACACCGUAUAUUCGCAUGGAUGUGCGGUCAAAGAUUUAUCGGUAUGGGAUGGGCCUGCGUCUGAUUAGCUGGUUGGUGGGGUAACGGCCUACCAAGGCGACGAUCAGUAGCCGACCUGAGAGGGUGAUCGGCCACAUUGGAACUGAGACACGGUCCAAACUCCUACGGGAGGCAGCAGUGGGGAAUAUUGCACAAUGGGCGGAAAGCCUGAUGCAGCAACGCCGCGUGAGCGAAGAAGGCCUUUGGGUCGUAAAGCUCUGUCGGGUAGGAAGAUAAUGACGGUACUACCCGAGGAAGCCCCGGCUAACUACGUG